GCACAGUGCAGCUUCUGAGAAUAGAAUGCUGGAAGAAGAAUGAAACACAGAAAAGAGAAAAACUGAGCAGCCAGGCUAAAAUGUCUUCAGAAAUGUUUUAAUAAAUGUAAGAAGUAUCAAAGUUUCCACAGAGUGGAACAACUGGUAGGUUUCACUAAAGAUUGCUGGCACAAGCAAAGUGCUGAGAUCGAAGAGGAGGCUGUGACUCAGGAGGACGUGGGACUUAGAGUGAUAUAACUGAAUACACCUUUUGAACAAGUUUGUGUAAAUGAGAGUGAGCUUAGAAAUCUCUUUUAAUUGAUGAUCUGUACAUCUGGAAUCCACUCCUGAAGAAUAAACGUGCUGAAAAAAUAAUCGAAGUCUAAUUCUGUACUGUUAGUUACGACUCCUCUUCAUCUCCAUGGACAGUUACAGUGUAUUGGCAGCAAAACAGAGGCCUCCAACUGAACACAGUCUGACCUGUUGAAGAGCUUGUUGCAGUACUCCGGGACUGGGCCAGGCACACCUGGAGCUCCAGAGGACAAGGGAGAAUGAGGAAGAAAAUGUUGAGAAGACCAAGAACAUACAAAAGUAAGAAGAAGCAGCUGAAGAGGAGAAAGAUCUGAAAAGGUAAAAAUGACAACUGGCCAGUAGCACGGUAAAAAAUGAAAUUAAACAGCAGAAAGAGGCACAUGAGUCUUGGGCUUGGAAACAUGCACUGAAUCUCAUGAUUCUUGAGAGUUCUUUUAGUCUCUUUUUACACUAGAUAAGGAUGGGAAGGAUUCAGCCUGGUACAAGGCAGGAUUGGAAGGCAAUGGAUUGUUCCAGUCUCCUCUCUCGUCCUAUCUGGGGAAAUCUUGGAGUGAAAUUUCUUAUUUUCCAUAUGAAAACUUUACGUACAAUGGAUUUCUUUUUUUAAUUUCAACUAUAUGUCAAGGAGUAGUGUAGCAUGUGUCAAGUGAGGAAAUUCUGAAAUUAAUCAGGUCCAAUAAAAAACUGUAAGGGUAAAUACUUAUCUGUUAAACAUGUUCUCCAAGAGAUGAGACACAGAUGUAUGCCUGUGUCAUGAGUUUCACAUGUUGCAAAUGUGCACAAAAUUACGUUCCUGAUUCCAAAUGAUCUGAACUGAUAUUCAUACUGUUGCAGUAGUAAUGUUUUAAUUUAAUGUUGCAUUAUAUUCCCAGAGAAAGUAGGAGCAUAUUUCAGAAAACAAUAAUAUAUAAUAGAUUGAAAAUUAUGGGACAGACAUGACCUGCCUUGUUCAUCUUCAAGUCAAAAAUUAUGCAGCUGUGAAUUGAUUAAUUUGUCUUUAUGACUACAGAAGUAAUUUUGAGUGAGUGAGAAGUCUACACAUACAUGAGAUCCCAAUAUAAGCAUUUCUUAGAAGAAAUCGCAGAAUCAUGGAAUAUUUUGCUUUGGAAGGUGCUCACAAAGG